CCCGCACAACGGCUUCCUGGCGUGCGUGGAUAACCCAACGGAGCA
rnacentral:ncRNA from 2 species